GGACAUUAUUCAAUUUAGAACUAUGAGAGACUCUGGAGUAGAUCUUCACUGAUAGGGGUUCUCCGAGCAUACGAGCUAGGAACUCAAUAGCUCAGAGGUUUCUUUAGAGACUUGGUCGAACUUCAAAGAGCUAUGAAUGACUCAUGAAGAUUUCGAAAGACUCAGCUAGAGGGCUCCUAAGGAAGACUAUAUAUAGGUGAUAGUUAGAGUCUAUUGCACUAAUGAUGUGCAAGGGAGAUUGGGGAUAACUGCUUGCAUAUUUAGAGUUUCUUAUGGUAUGAUGAAAUAUGGAUCUCAUGAUUAGAGGGG
rnacentral:lncRNA from 1 species